CCUACGGGAGGCAGCAGUGAGGAAUAUUGGUCAAUGGUCGCGAGCCUGAACCAGCCAAGCCGCGUGAAGGAUGACUGCCCUACGGGUUGUAAACUUCUUUUAUAAGGGAAUAAAGUCAGGCACGCGUGCCUGUUUGUAUGUACUUUAUGAAUAAGGAUCGGCUAACUCCGUGCCAGCAGCCGCGGUAAUACGGAGGAUCCGAGCGUUAUCCGGAUUUAUUGGGUUUAAAGGGUGCGUAGGUGGUUUGUUAAGUCAGGUGUGAAAGUUUGCGGCUCAACCGUAGAAUUGCCGUUGAUACUGGCAGGAUAGAGUGCAGUUGAGGUAGGCGGAAUGCGUGGUGUAGCGGUGAAAUGCUUAGAUAUCACGCAGAACUCCGAUUGCGAAGGCAGCAUACCAAGCUGCCACUGACAUUGAGGCUCGAAAGCGUGGGUAUCAAACAGGAUUAGAUACCCCAGUAGUC
rnacentral:rRNA from 1 species